AUCCUUUUGUAGUUCCUAAGUGUGAUGAUUGGGCUCUCACGCAUAUGCAUGAGAUGUGCCUCCCACAAAUCUUGUUAGGUCAGCACAACACCCAUCUGACA
ensembl:snoRNA